GACGAACGCUGGCGGCGCGCUUAACACAUGCAAGUCGAACGGAAAGGCCUGCUUUCCCUUGUGGAUUGCGGGUACUCGAGUGGCGAACGGGUGAGUAACACGUGAGUGAUCUGCCCCCAACUUGGGUAUAAGCCUGGGAAACUGGGUCUAAUUCCCGAUAGGACUGCAGGGUGGUGCCUGUGGUGGAAAACGAUGUUCUAGUGGUUGGGGAUGAGCUCGCGGCCUAUCAGCUUGUUGGUGGGGUAAUGGCCUACCAAGGCGGCGACGGGUAGCCGGCCUGAGAGGGUGGACGGCCACAUUGGGACUGCGAUACGGCCCAGACUCCUACGGGAGGCAGCAGUGGGGAAUAUUGCACAAUGGGCGGAAGCCUGAUGCAGCGACGCCGCGUGGGGGAUGACGGCCUUCGGGUUGUAAACUCCUUUCGACCGCGAGGAAGCCACCUGGUUGGAAGGGUGGUGACGGUAGUGGUAGAAGAAGCACCGGCUAACUACGUG
rnacentral:rRNA from 1 species